CCUACGGGUGGCUGCAGUGAGGAAUAUUGGUCAAUGGGCGCAAGCCUGAACCAGCCAUCCCGCGUGAAGGAAGAAGGCCCUAUGGGUUGUAAACUUCUUUUCCAGGGGAAUAAAAUCCCGAACGAGUUGGGGACUGAAGGUACCCUGGGAAUAAGCAUCGGCUAACUCCGUGCCAGCAGCCGCGGUAAUACGGAGGAUGCGAGCGUUAUCCGGAUUUAUUGGGGUUAAAGGGUGCGAAUGCGGCUUAAUAGAAAACCUGCAGCGUAACUGUAGACUUGCCAUUGAUACUGUUAGUCUUGAGUACGGUCAAGGUAGGCGGAAUGUGUAAUGUAGCGGUGAAAUGCUUAGAUAUUACACAGAACACCGAUUGCGAAGGCAGCUUACUGGGCCGCAACUGACGCUGAUGCACGAAAGCGUGGGGAGCGAACAGGAUUAGAUACCCCGGUAGUC
rnacentral:rRNA from 1 species